UUGACUUACGGGGGGCAGCAGUGAGGAAUAUUGGUCAAUGGGCGGAAGCCUGAACCAGCCAAGUCGCGUGAGGGAAGAAGGCCCUGCGGGUCGCAGACCUCUUUGGACGGGGAGCAAGGCCGCCGACGUGUCGGCGGAAGGAGAGUACCCGUAGAACAAGCAUCGGCUAACUCCGUGCCAGCAGCCGCGGUAAUACGGAGGAUGCGAGCGUUAUCCGGAUUUAUUGGGUUUAAAGGGAGCGUAGAUGGGUUGUUAAGUCAGUUGUGAAAGUUUGCGGCUCAACCGUAAAAUUGCAAUUGAUACUG
rnacentral:rRNA from 1 species